rnacentral:rRNA from 1 species
GACGAAGGAUGCAAGCGUUAUCCGGAUUCAUUGGGUUUAAAGGGUGCGUAGGCGGUCUUGUAAGUCAGUGGUGAAAUCUCGCAGCUUAACUGCGAAACUGCCAUUGAUACUGCAGGGCUUGAGUACAGAUGCUGUGGGCGGAAUAUGACAUGUAGUGGUGAAAUACAUAGAGAUGUCAUAGAACACCGAUUGCGAAGGCAGCUCACAAAACUGUAACUGACGCUGAGGCACGAAAGUGCGGGGAUCAAACAGG